GGAUCCAGCUGGAUGCUGCAGGCUGUGCCGCAGACUCUGUGGGCCGCCUGAGAAAGGAAAUUAAUUCCUCUUUGAGAGAAAAUGACUUUAACAGAUAGAAUGGUGGAGGCAGGCAGUAACUUUGUUGCUGUCGACCCCCCUCCCCCUUCAAGGCUUCAGAAGGCAGCAGAGGCAGUGCAGCAGAGGAAAAGCACCUUAUGCUCGCCAAAACCAGCCUCCACACCAACGUUUCUACUCGGCGCUACAACACAUACAGUAACUCUGUCAAAGAGCUCUGCCAUAUUGCAUCAAUCCAGCAUCCCUGUGAAGGUCCAGCUUCAACAUGUUGUUCCAAUAAGGCAAAUCACUCAGAAGAGUGAAGUCAACCUUUUAUGCUUUAACAGCUUCCUUCUCUCUUUUGGUUUCUGGGGAGUUCUGGAUGAUUCCCAAGGAAUUUGUUCCACUGAGUUAGCAUGAGGGUGACCAGCCUGUUUUUUGCCUAAUGAUAAGUCAAUGUGGCGAGACUGGGGAAUCUCAUUAACACCUAAUUCCAGCUCUCUGCCAAUAGUUUCAUUUCUAGUUGGCAUUAUUAUGUGACUGAUCCGCAACAGUCACGUUUGUCUCCUAGAGUAGAAAUUACAUUUAUAUAUGAUGUAUAAAAAUUGUUAACCUGUUUUCCAGCUUUGUAAAGACACAGUGGUGUAAAGCACAAGCAUUGAGCAAUAUAACAUCGCUAAUCUUUAUUAGUGGAGAAUAAAUCAGGAGAUGACUUCUGAAUCGAAAGGAGCCAGUAUGAGAUUUUGAUUGUGUGAUAACCAUGAGGGGGGAAAAAAUAUUGUAACAUUAUGGUACAAAUAUUUGUUGUAAUCCAAUUGCUUUUGAUUUAGAAUAAAACUGAACAAAUAUGAACCAUUGGAGCUUAAAAUAUUUUCACAUGUUGAUGUAAUAUUUUCAUUGCCAUAUCAUAUCUUUAACUAAUUUGAUAUGCUACAAAGAUGGUGACAGGAGUUUGUGACUUGGACUCAAAACAUUUAGACUCCUUCCAUAAGGACUUCAGGUUUGACUUUCAGCCAUACGUUUUUGUAUGGCUGAAAGGCAUAACCUCAUAAAAAUGGCUAAUUUUCCCCAGAUAUCCUGCUACAUGUGGACUAGGCAUACAAGUGGAUGACUUGAUAGAAUCUACUUGGUUUCGUUAGAUGGGAAACCUUUGUCCAGUUUGUAUGAUUUAAUUGAAUGGACUUUGUAAACUUCCCUGAAAAGACAUCUGUUGAAAAUUGGUGCUAUAUAGAUAAACUGAUUUGAUUAGAUUAAUUGUGUUUAAAGAAUCACUAAGUAGUGUAAAUAAUUGCUUUGACACAACAUUUACAGUUUCGAAUAACGACUGGAAAGCUAUGAAUCAGAUGUCAGCAAUAGCAUCAUUAGCCAGCUGUGGGGUAUCACAACAUUUUCUUGCGUCCUUGUGUAGCUCUAUUGUCUUGUCUGUCUCUAUGUAUUGUUUCCUACUUUACCACAGAUUUGAGAGUGAUCUCUUUCAAAGCUUACUCAGUCAAACAUAUUCAAGAUAACUGCAACCAGACAACACUUCAAGAGACAGCCUUUGUCUGCUUAUAUUAAAGCAAUUUGAAACAAAACUUUAGUUGUGUAAGAUUUUUGAAGUGUAACAUUUUUGUAGAAAUGGGUAAAAUAAUCAAUGCAAAUGAACAUGAAUUACAAUUUUCUUUAAUAAAAUCGGUUGUACAUAGUUA